UAGGGAAUCUUCCGCAAUGGACGAAAGUCUGACGGAGCAACGCCGCGUGAGUGAUGAAGGUUUUCGGAUCGUAAAGCUCUGUUGUUGGGGAAGAACAAGUACCGUUCGAACAGGGCGGUACCUUGACGGUACCUAACCAGAAAGCCACGGCUAACUACGUGCCAGCCGCCGCGGUAAUACGUAGGUGGCAAGUGUUGUCCGGAAUUAUUGGGCGUAAAGGGCUCGCGGGCGGUUUCUUAAGUCUGAUGUGAAAGCCCCCGGCUCAACCGGGGAGGGUCAUUGGAAACUGGGGAACUUGAGUGCAGAAGAGGAGAGUGGAAUUCCACGUGUAGCGGUGAAAUGCGUAGAGAUGUGGAGGAACACCAGUGGCGAGGGCGACUCUCUGGUCUGUAACUGACGCUGAGGAGCGAAAGCGUGGUGAGCGAACA
rnacentral:rRNA from 1 species